CUGAAUUCUGAGUAUAUUCUUCAUCUAGUGAAGCAAUACACCUCAAAAAGAUAUGCAAAACAGUGUUUUUUACUCGGUUCACUGCAAAUAUAAAUCAGCGCCAUUGCAGAAAGUAGUGCUGAUACUUUAUAUCGGAUUAUGUGUUUCAUAUCUUCUGCAAUAUUCUAUAUAAUAAUCGGAUAAUAACAAGAAGAUUGAAUCUUAAGUGUUUGGGUUAGUGGCACAAAUCCUAAACAUUACUAUUGCCAAUGCUAACCGGAUAAUAACAAUAUUUCAGGUCUAACCGGAUACAGUAUAUGAAAUAAACCCAUAUUGGCAAACUAUUAUGUUGGUAUGUUUUGAUGACACAUUCUUUUGUGAUAUUUCUGGCAGUAUUUAUUCGGAGCUAAGUAAUUCGGCUAAGGAAGAGAACCCACAGCCAGCAGUGGAGCAGUUUUUAGCGCUGAAUGCUAGCCUGAGCAGUACCAAGACAAUCGCUGAAUCCUUAUCGAAACCCAUUCCAGACGGUUCAUCUCCAGAUUCUGAAAGGAGCGCAACAGAAGAAGCACUAAAAGUAAAAACCGAUCGACAAAAACAUGCAGCUUCUUGGGUCCAAGCGGCCUUAGCCACGAAUCUAUCACCCUUUGCCGUUUAUACAAAGGAACCUCAAUCAUGCAGGCUUCCAGUUUCAAGCAAUUUUCAAAAUCAAAAGACUAUACCGGGAGGUCAAUACACGUUAGUCCUACACAAUUCAAGUGAAGACGCUUUAACAAAAGCUCCAGCGAAAACUCGCCCGACCACUAAUUCGAAGCAUGCCUCACAGGGAACUGCUCGCAGAACCGACGUGUUAGCGAAUGGGCACAAGCAACAAGUCCAACAGCUCCCGGAAUGGAUUAAAGGAAAUGGCCUCGACGAGGUGGUUAAUUUAGCCGAAAUGCUGCAAUUACAAUCUCGAGACUGGUUUUUGGAAUUCGUUGAGAGAUUCUUGGACACGGACGGUGACACUACCUUGUCAAAUAACGGCCAAAUAGCAGGCAUGCUCACUCAACUAAAGAGCGUAAACGAUUGGUUAGACGAGAUCGGGUCAAGCAAGGAGGAUGACAUAGAAUCAUGUGAGAUAUCAGCGGAGACGAUUGACCGAUUGCGGAAGAAGAUAUACGAGUAUCUUCUUACACAUGUUGAAUCCGCCGCUGCGGCACUAGGUGGUGGACCACAACCAUCACCUCAGAUUUAAACCAAAAGUUGAAUGAGUAUAUAUAGCUUUAGCUUAAGGAUUCCUGAGUAGAAAAAGGUUUCACUCUAAUGAAAACUCCACAUUUUCUUUGUCUUUGCUUGUACAUUGGGGAUUUGAGGUAUAGAACUAUAUAGAUUGAGUGCUAAUUAUUUAUCAAGGGGAAGUAGCCAAUGUGAUUUGUGAGGAUCUUUUUCUACUUUAUUUUUCUAAAAUAUGGAGAUUCCGAGAAGCAUCUAACUUUCGUAUAAGUCGAA
rnacentral:lncRNA from 1 species